AGUUUAACACAGGUGGUGGAGAAACUUCCAGAAACCACGAUUAAGGACAGAAAUAGCCGUCAUUUGGACAAGUCUGGAUUGAUUAAGGAAAGCCAGCAUGGAUUUGUUAAUGAUUUAUCAACUGACGAAAUGGUGACACUCAGAGCAAAUCGCCAAGCCCAGGAAACUUAAUCACAGGAACUCUGUCACAUUGUGCAUGGUAGUAGAACCCACCGUUUUACCAAAGUACAGUAUGUUACGUCACUAAAGUGAAACAAUUCAAGCACUCACCUACACACUAGGGGUAAUUUACAAAGCCCAAUUUGACACCUGUGGCAUUUAGGAGAAAACUGGAGCACCCGGAGGAAACCCACACAGUCUUAAGAAGAACAUGCAAACUCCACACAGACAGCACUGGAGGUCAGAAUUAAACCUGGACUGUUGGCUCCUGUUAGUUGUACCACUGUGUCACUACAUGUACGUAAGUGGUUGGUUCC